CAAACUAUCCUAAACCCCAACUACAACACAUCAAACAUACACAAAUAUCAUACAUUGUCCACAAGUUCACAUAAAACCUAACCAAGCUCAACUAUCCUAAACAUGCAUUUCUACCCUAUGAAUCAACUUAAAACUUACUUAAAACAUAAAAUGAGUUCAAGAUCGGCUCUUACCUCUUGAAGAUCGAGAGAGAGAGACGACCUAAACUUGGAGAACCAAGGAAAAGAGCUCCUGAGUCUUUCAAGCCUCAAAACUUGCUUAAAUGCUCAAAAAUCUUCAAAACAAAGUGAAAUGUCAUGAA
rnacentral:lncRNA from 1 species